AGAGUUUGAUCAUGGCUCAGAUUGAACGCUGGCGGCAGGCCUAACACAUGCAAGUCGAGCGGUAGCACAGAGAGCUUGCUCUCGGGUGACGAGCGGCGGACGGGUGAGUAAUGUCUGGGAAACUGCCUGAUGGAGGGGGAUAACUACUGGAAACGGUAGCUAAUACCGCAUAAUGUCGCAAGACCAAAGUGGGGGACCUUCGGGCCUCAUGCCAUCAGAUGUGCCCAGAUGGGAUUAGCUAGUAGGUGGGGUAAUGGCUCACCUAGGCGACGAUCCCUAGCUGGUCUGAGAGGAUGACCAGCCACACUGGAACUGAGACACGGUCCAGACUCCUACGGGAGGCAGCAGUGGGGAAUAUUGCACAAUGGGCGCAAGCCUGAUGCAGCCAUGCCGCGUGUGUGAAGAAGGCCUUCGGGUUGUAAAGCACUUUCAGCGGGGAGGAAGGCGGUGAGGUUAAUAACCUCAUCGAUUGACGUUACCCGCAGAAGAAGCACCGGCUAACUCCGUGCCAGCAGCCGCGGUAAUACGGAGGGUGCAAGCGUUAAUCGGAAUUACUGGGCGUAAAGCGCACGCAGGCGGUCUGUCAAGUCGGAUGUGAAAUCCCCGGGCUUAACCUGGGAACUGCAUUCGAAACUGGCAGGCUAGAGUCUUGUAGAGGGGGGUAGAAUUCCAGGUGUAGCGGUGAAAUGCGUAGAGAUCUGGAGGAAUACCGGUGGCGAAGGCGGCCCCCUGGACAAAGACUGACGCUCAGGUGCGAAAGCGUGGGGAGCAAACAGGAUUAGAUACCCUGGUAGUCCACGCCGUAAACGAUGUCGAUUUGGAGGUUGUGCCCUUGAGGCGUGGCUUCCGGAGCUAACGCGUUAAAUCGACCGCCUGGGGAGUACGGCCGCAAGGUUAAAACUCAAAUGAAUUGACGGGGGCCCGCACAAGCGGUGGAGCAUGUGGUUUAAUUCGAUGCAACGCGAAGAACCUUACCUGGUCUUGACAUCCACAGAACUUUCCAGAGAUGGAUUGGUGCCUUCGGGAACUGUGAGACAGGUGCUGCAUGGCUGUCGUCAGCUCGUGUUGUGAAAUGUUGGGUUAAGUCCCGCAACGAGCGCAACCCUUAUCCUUUGUUGCCAGCGGUCCGGCCGGGAACUCAAAGGAGACUGCCAGUGAUAAACUGGAGGAAGGUGGGGAUGACGUCAAGUCAUCAUGGCCCUUACGACCAGGGCUACACACGUGCUACAAUGGCAUAUACAAAGAGAAGCGACCUCGCGAGAGCAAGCGGACCUCAUAAAGUAUGUCGUAGUCCGGAUUGGAGUCUGCAACUCGACUCCAUGAAGUCGGAAUCGCUAGUAAUCGUAGAUCAGAAUGCUACGGUGAAUACGUUCCCGGGCCUUGUACACACCGCCCGUCACACCAUGGGAGUGGGUUGCAAAAGAAGUAGGUAGCUUAACCUUCGGGAGGGCGCUUACCACUUUGUGAUUCAUGACUGGGGUGAAGUCGUAACAAGGUAACCGUAGGGGAACCUGCGGUUGGAUCACCU
rnacentral:rRNA from 1 species